GACGAACGCUGGCGGCGUGCUUAACACAUGCCAGUCGAACGGUGAAGCGCCUUCCUUUUUGGUGGGUGUGGAUGAGUGGCGAACGGGUGAGUAACACGUGAGUAACCUGCCCCCUUCUUCUGGAUAACCGCAUGAAAGUGUGGCUAAUACGGGAUAUUCUGGGUCUGUCGCAUGAUGGGUCUGGGAAAGAUAUUGUUUCGGUGGGGGAUGGGCUCGCGGCCUAUCAGCUUGUUGGUGGGGUGAUGGCCUACCAAGGCGGUGACGGGUAGCCGGCCUGAGAGGGUGGACGGUCACACUGGGACUGAGACACGGCCCAGACUCCUACGGGAGGCAGCAGUGGGGAAUAUUGCACAAUGGGCGCAAGCCUGAUGCAGCGACGCCGCGUGAGGGAUGGAGGCCUUCGGGUUGUCAACCUCUUUCGCCAGUGAAGCAGGCCUGCCUCGUUUGUGGGUGGGUUGACGGUAGCUGGAUAAGAAGCGCCGGCUAACUACGUG
rnacentral:rRNA from 1 species